rnacentral:rRNA from 1 species
GACGAACGCUGGCGGCGUGCUUAAUACAUGCAAGUCGAGCGAGGCCCAUCCGGUGGCAACACCGGGGAAGGCCGAGCGGCGAACGGGUGAGUAACACGUGAGCAACCUGCCCCGAAGUCUGGAAUAACAUCGGGAAACCGGUGCUAAUACCGGAUCGCCCCACCUGACCGCAUGAUCGGGUGAGGAAAGAUUUAUCGCUUCGGGAGGGGCUCGCGGCCUAUCAGCUAGUUGGUGGGGUAACGGCCUACCAAGGCGUCGACGGGUAGCUGGUCUGAGAGGACGACCAGCCACACUGGGACUGAGACACGGCCCAGACUCCUACGGGAGGCAGCAGUAGGGAAUCUUGCGCAAUGGGCGAAAGCCUGACGCAGCAACGCCGCGUGGGGAUGACGGCCUCGGUU